rnacentral:lncRNA from 1 species
CACAGUUGAUAACAAGCAACUCCAGUACCAGCUACAAAAUGUGUAGAACCCAGGGUGAAAUAAAAUAGGGGGCCCUGUUUUCAAAAAAAUAAUAGAAUUUUCAGACAGCAAGAGCAGGACAUUAAGCCCAGCACAAGGGCCUCUGAGUAUAGGACCUGGGGGACUGCAUGGGUCCAGGACUCUGGCCCUGGUUUCCCCUCUUACUGAUUAAAUGAGUUUUAAAUCCUCACUUCCAAAGUGAAGCCCUUUACCAACAUUGACCAUAUUAAACAGCAUUGACUUUGUUUAAAAAAACAAAAACAAAAACUCAUUUCUUUGCCAAAAAUCAUGCUUUCAAAUAAAACAGAUACAAGCUCAACAUUAUUUUUAAAAAUAAAAGUUACAUAAGUGCAUUUCUCACAUUUUAUGUGCAUUUAAAUAAAUAACUUUGUUUUAAACUGAAAAUGAGAAUUUGAUAUAGAUUGUAUCAGGCGAUCUCAUGCAGGGGCUGACCUAACCUGAGUUUCUCAUUUUACAAAGGCCAUGCCAUCAAACACCAUGAACUUAGAAAUUUUAGAUCAUCUGUCCCUAUUGCCUGCCAUAAUAGAGACCCAUCUAUUUCCCACACGCUGGGAAAUUUCCUCAUCGACACUCAUCCAGGGCAGUCCAUCUGGAAGGAAGACCUUAGGGCUGCUACACAGCACACCUGCCCAAGAUUUCAAGUGUCACCGUUCAUUUUCACUUUGUGCCAGGAAUUGUUCUGAGCCCUUUGCUUGCAGUAAUUCCUCGAAUCCUGGGGAAAAAAAAAAAAAAACCAUCUGGGAGGAAACAAGAUUCCAUCACUUCUGCUAAUCUAAACUGAGAAGCAGGCCCAAGGAGCCCCGCCCAGCCUGUGCUCCAGAAGAGGAAAGUUAAGUUUUGUCUUGUGAAAGGAGAAAUACCAAAGAACUUCUGGGCAUCCUUUAAAACCAGGCAUUGAUAUCUAGAUUACCCAUUAAGGUGUCAGUAAAUCUAGUAAAUUCACCUAGGAGUGAGUGUGGAGAGGAUACCAGGGCUGAGCCCUAGGAUGCUUCAGCAUUAAAAAGCUGUGAUUUCUGGUUUUUAGAGAGGCAACUGAGGC